rnacentral:rRNA from 1 species
ACAUGCCUAUAACAUAACAUUAAUUCAUUGAAUCCCAUUAGAACUUUGCAGUUAAGUGCGCUCGGGCUAGAGUAGUACUGGGAUGGGUGACCACUUGAGAAGUCCUAGUAUUUUACAUGCC